rnacentral:rRNA from 1 species
GAUGAACGCUGGCGGCGUGCCUAACACAUGCAAGUCGAGCGUGAACCCUUAGAAUGAAACUUCGGUCGAAUGAAGAGGGGGAAAGCGGCGGACGGGUGAGUAACGCGUAGGCAACCUGCCCCGUACAGAGGGAUAGCCUCGGGAAACCGGGAUUAAAACCUCAUAAUACCAUGGUAUCACAUGAUGCAAUGGUCAAAGAUUUAUCGGUAUGGGAUGGGCCUGCGUCUGAUUAGCUGGUUGGUGGGGUAACGGCCUACCAAGGCAACGAUCAGUAGCCGACCUGAGAGGGUAAUCGGCCACAUUGGAACUGAGACACGGUCCAAACUCCUACGGGAGGCAGCAGUGGGGAAUAUUGCACAAUGGGCGAAAGCCUGAUGCAGCAACGCCGCGUGAGCGAAGAAGGCCUUGGGUCGUAAAGCUCUGUCGGGAAGGAAGAUAAUGACGGUACUUCCCGAGGAAGCCCCGGCUAACUACGUG